CCUACGGGUGGCAGCAGUGGGGAAUAUUGGGCAAUGGAGGAAACUCUGACCCAGCAACGCCGCGUGAAUGAUGAAGGUCUUCGGAUUGUAAAGUUCUUUUCUAAGGGAAGAAGAAAGUGACGGUACCUUAGGAAUAAGCCUCGGCUAACUACGUGCCAGCAGCCGCGGUAAUACGUAGGAGGCGAGCGUUAUCCGGAAUGACUGGGCGUAAAGGGUGCGUAGGUGGUUUGGCAAGUUAGUAGCGUAACUCCAAGGCUCAACCUUGCAACUACUACUAAAACUGUUGGACUUGAGUGCAGGAGGGGCAACCGGAAUUCCUAGUGUAGAGGUGGAAUGCGUAGAGAUUAGGAGGAACACCAGGGGCGAAGGCGACUUUAUGGACUGUACCUGACGCUGAGGCGCGAAAGUGUGGGUAGCGAACGGGAUGAGAUAACCCGGUAGUC
rnacentral:rRNA from 1 species